GCGUGGUUGUGACUAUCAUGAAGGUACCCUGCACUUCCGAAUUUGCCACUACACUACUGCGACCCAUCGCUCUACACAGUUUUGUCCUCACAUGUCCAAGCUGAACACCUGAAGGAGACAUGGGCAGUAGGCAACAGUGACCCACCUGCAGGGAAGCUCACAUAGCAGCUCCAGCCCACCUGGCAAUUCGCUUCUGCCAACCACUCCCUGGAAACUGUAAUCCUGACAAGACGCUGUGGUGCAGAGAUCAAGAAGAUAUGAAGAGUGGUACAUCCCCGUGUCUUCAUUUUCCCAACCAUCACCACAGGAAGGUGCCUAACAUAAACUUUAUUUUGGUAACCUGGAAAGCUGCAUUAACACCGACACCCAUUAAAAGUGUCUCGAUUGUGGACAGACUUAUCAAUACACAGAGGUACUUGUUUAAGAAACCCUUUUCAGAAGAUCUCCCUACAGCGGACCAGGUUAAGUAAUAAUUAUCUAUCGAUCCCUUCUUGGGAUCCACUGAAAGGCAAAUUCUCUUUCGAGGAGAGGUAGCUGGCUUUGCUGGGAAUUGAUUUCUUCCAGAAUAUAUUCCGUGUGAAGGAUUAAGGAAGAGUUCUAGGCUUGGGAUACAGGAUCAGUCUCAGGCCCUGAGCCUGGCAACCCUACUCCCAAUAGAGGUCGUCAUUCAGAACGACCAAAGGUGAAGCCAGAUGGAAAUAUUUAGAUAAUCUGCUUCCUCCAGGCAAACCUGCAGUUGGCCAGCCACCACCCUCUCCAUCACCUUGCCCAAGAAGGGAAUAUUAGAGACUGGACAGUAGUUUUCUAAAACCUCUGGAUCUGGGGAGGGCUGCUUCAAGAGGAGCCUUGUCACCACCUGUUUCAAGGCAAUGAAUAAGAAGUUGGAAUUUAGUAACUCAAUAAAUGAAGAAUUGGAGAAAAAUAGAAAACUGAUCCAACUCUGAAAUAAGAGUACGAGAACUUCAGCAAAUUCUUUUUUUAAAAUAUUGAACUGAACUUUUUCCACUGUUAUUUAUAUUUAUUGCCUGUUUUGUCUUUUAAAUCUCUUGGAUGAAUAAUAAUAAAAAUUAAAAAGGAAUAAAAUAA